rnacentral:rRNA from 1 species
AUUGAACGCUGGCGGAAUGCUUUACACAUGCAAGUCGAACGGCAGCACGGGGGCAACCCUGGUGGCGAGUGGCGAACGGGUGAGUAAUACAUCGGAACGUGCCCAGUCGUGGGGGAUAACGUAGCGAAAGUUACGCUAAUACCGCAUACGAUCUACGGAUGAAAGCGGGGGACCGUAAGGCCUCGCGCGAUUGGAGCGGCCGAUGUCAGAUUAGGUAGUUGGUGAGGUAAAGGCACACCAAGCCGACGAUCUGUAGCUGGCCUGAGAGGACGACCAGCCACACUGGGACUGAGACACGGCCCAGACUCCGACGGGAGGCAGCAGUGGGGAAUUUUGGACAAUGGGCGCAAGCCUGAUCCAGCCAUUCCGCGUGCAGGACGAAGGCCUUCGGGUUGUAAACUGCUUUUGUACGGAACGAAAAGGCUCUGGUUAAUACCUGGGGCUCAUGACGGUACCGUAAGAAUAAGCACCGGCUAACUACGUGCCAGCCGCCGCCGUAA